rnacentral:rRNA from 1 species
AAACUGAAGAGUUUGAUCCUGGCUCAGAUUGAACGCUGGCGGCAUGCCUUACACAUGCAAGUCGAACGGCAGCACGGGUGCUUGCACCUGGUGGCGAGUGGCGAACGGGUGAGUAAUACAUCGGAACAUGUCCUGUAGUGGGGGAUAGCCCGGCGAAAGCCGGAUUAAUACCGCAUACGAUCUACGGAUGAAAGCGGGGGACCUUCGGGCCUCGCGCUAUAGGGUUGGCCGAUGGCUGAUUAGCUAGUUGGUGGGGUAAAGGCCUACCAAGGCGACGAUCAGUAGCUGGUCUGAGAGGACGACCAGCCACACUGGGACUGGAAUUUUGGACAAUGGGCGAAAGCCUGAUCCAGCAAUGCCGCGUGUGUGAAGAAGGCCUUCGGGUUGUAAAGCACUUUUGUCCGGAAAGAAAUCCUUGGCUCUAAUACAGUCGGGGGAUGACGGUACCGGAAGAAUAAGCACCGGCUAACUACGUGCCAGCAGCCGCGGUAAUACGUAGGGUGCGAGCGUUAAUCGGAAUUACUGGGCGUAAAGCGUGCGCAGGCGGUUUGCUAAGACCGAUGUGAAAUCCCCGGGCUCAACCUGGGAACUGCAUUGGUGACUGGCAGGCUAGAGUAUGGCAGAGGGGGGUAGAAUUCCACGUGUAGCAGUGAAAUGCGUAGAGAUGUGGAGGAAUACCGAUGGCGAAGGCAGCCCCCUGGGCCAAUACUGACGCUCAUGCACGAAAGCGUGGGGAGCAAACAGGAUUAGAUACCCUGGUAGUCCACGCCCUAAACGAUGUCAACUAGUUGUUGGGGAUUCAUUUCCUUAGUAACGUAGCUAACGCGUGAAGUUGACCGCCUGGGGAGUACGGUCGCAAGAUUAAAACUCAAAGGAAUUGACGGGGACCCGCACAAGCGGUGGAUGAUGUGGAUUAAUUCGAUGCAACGCGAAAAACCUUACCUACCCUUGACAUGGUCGGAAUCCCGCUGAGAGGUGGGAGUGCUCGAAAGAGAACCGGCGCACAGGUGCUGCAUGGCUGUCGUCAGCUCGUGUCGUGAGAUGUUGGGUUAAGUCCCGCAACGAGCGCAACCCUUGUCCUUAGUUGCUACGCAAGAGCACUCUAAGGAGACUGCCGGUGACAAACCGGAGGAAGGUGGGGAUGACGUCAAGUCCUCAUGGCCCUUAUGGGUAGGGCUUCACACGUCAUACAAUGGUCGGAACAGAGGGUUGCCAACCCGCGAGGGGGAGCUAAUCCCAGAAAACCGAUCGUAGUCCGGAUUGCACUCUGCAACUCGAGUGCAUGAAGCUGGAAUCGCUAGUAAUCGCGGAUCAGCAUGCCGCGGUGAAUACGUUCCCGGGUCUUGUACACACCGCCCGUCACACCAUGGGAGUGGGUUUUACCAGAAGUGGCUAGUCUAACCGCAAGGAGGACGGUCACCACGGUAGGAUUCAUGACUGGGGUGAAGUCGUAACAAGGUAGCCGUAUCGGAAGGUGCGGCUGGAUCACCUCCUUU